rnacentral:lncRNA from 1 species
CAAAGCAGGACCCGCCUCAACCCAUCUCUAAUCCAAACAACCAUGUGCACAAAACAUACAGUCAUAUAACAAUCAUAAUCAACAAACCGAGUAAACAGAUCACAUAGCAUAUCAUUACCCUAACCGGGCUACCGCCCUAUUCGAUCACUAGCAUAGCAUUACUCAACAUAUCGAGAACUGACCUUUGCAAGGUCCCCUAGCAUGUACCAUCCUAACUACCAGGAUGCAGACACAACCAGCACUAACAUGAUAAACGUAACUGAAUCUCAAUACAAUAAAGGGCCGGCCUUGGUGCCUUAGACCCUGUUGAUAUAGUGAGGAUAACUCACCUCGAACUGACGGCUGAAAAGAUAAGAUCCCGCUGCUCCGAACUCUGACACAACUCCUCCACUGAACAUCAAACAAUAACCCAAUAAACUCCCAUGAUUACCAAAAUACCCCUGGAAGACAACUGGUCAAAUCCUUGGUCAAAGACAAGGUCAAAGUCAACCCCUGACUGACCCUACUCGCCGAGUCAACCCUAUGACUCGCCGAGUCCCCAUACUCAGAACUUCGCUUAACCCGCGACCUAACUCGCCGAGUCACCCCAAGACUCGCCGAGUUCAACGACUCUGAGUCCACUCGCCCUUGACUCACCGAUUCCUUAAGAUUCCCUUUCUACACGUCGAGUAUCCCCUUUUUACUCGACGAGUUCCUCCUGGAAGAAUCGUGGGGCCACCCCGACUCAACUCGCCGAGUCUGAAGAACGACUCGACGAGUCCCAGUUAAUCUUCAAGCUACUCGCCGAGUCUGAAGAACAACUCGGCGAGUCCAUGCCAUGCAGACGAGCAACUGCUUCCUGAAUUACGUAUGGUCCCGAGAUAUACAAUAAUGGGACUUUCUGGACUUCUAAACAUCUUAUUACUGGGGUAUAAACGUCUGGGUAAUAACAUAAUAACCCAUCUAAUCACUAAGUGGGUUUCAUAAACCCUAGAUUCGUAUACACAUCAAAAUAACAGAAAUGGUCCGAGUGUUACCUGAAAACGCACUCUCUGUGUCCCCCAAACCUCAGGACUCGAUCCUCCUUGAUAUUCCUUUGGCUAAAUUCUUCUUCUUCUUGCCUAACAAGUUCUUCCAAGUUCCAAUAGCUUUCUCCCUUGCUCUAGACGUCCACAACGAUUAGGGUUCUUCUCAAUCGACCAAAAGACGGACAAUGACGGCCUAAGGGGCGUUAUAUACGAUCCAAAACCGAACGGUUAGGGUUUCUGCUGAACAGCGUCGACUCGCCGAGUCCAUAUCUGGACUCGUCGAGUCCAGUCGCGAACCCGCGACCAAGUCUGCGAUCCUACUCGGCGAGUCUAGGCUCCAACUCGCCGAGUCCCCUCUUAAAUCACCCCCAAAAACAUAAUUAUAUCAAUAUCUGAAAUUCCGGGCUGUUACAACUCUCCCCCACUUAAAUUAGGCUUCGCCCUCGAAGCCUUCGGCAUCUCAUCUUCAAUCUACUUCCCACUCUGCGCCACUUGACCUUGACCGAACCAAGCCCCUCAAAGUACAACCAUAGAACCAGAAGCUCACUUUCUCAUCCCAUACGGUGUUCCCACCACCUACUCAAACCGGCACCCACUGUACCCUCCGAUAACCACACUCAACAACCGAGAAUUACCCAUGAUGCCUUACUGCUCCUAUUCUCAUCUUCCACUUGACUCACAUGGCUAUAAAGCCACGCACCCUCGGAUUCCCGAUCCAAAUUCCACUCUACCCUUAUCAUAACGACCGAAAGACUCAUUCUUCCAUUUCGGAGCAACUCCCCCGAGUUCUCCUAUCGCAAUCACACCUACAUGCCGAUCUAGCUCUAGCACCCUCAGGUGCGGAUAACCUGAUAUAUAGACGAUAUCCUCAACAUCCUUCCAGGAUAAACCACUGAUACAUACCCAGAACCCUGAUCAUGAUCUCACUGAGAGUCCAAAACUCUUGCUCUGCAUCCCUUCCUAACUCCUCUCCCUGACUCCACGUCGCGAUAUUCCCUCUGCGCCCAAAGCAACAUAUCGAGUCGAAUAAACUCAUAUUCCGCCGCCGCAACACACUACUCAAAGAUCAUCGACGGACCACUGCGAUCGCAACUCUGCACUGCCGCUUUCACCUCCGUGAAACCCCACUUGUCUGCCCAGCCACCAUGACAGGCACCAUGGUGCUCAUCCUACGCCACAUUACCACUUUAGGGCGUACCCAAUAUCCAUGCAUUACCGCUACUCUGGCUCUUAGCACAAGGACUCUCAAGCCCAUGCACUACCUUCACUGCUCAAGAUCGCUAGCCGGGGCCAGACCUCCCAAUGUAAUCCCAUCGCGACAUACGCAACCCAUAGCCUCUAACCGAUUCAAUAUUACCCGCAGAGUCUUCAGCAUGACUGGACCGCCUCCCCGGGCCUUCAGCCAAUCUGGACCACUCUCAGAACCUUCAGCCAAUCUGACUGGACCGUCCUCCGAGCCUUCGGCCUGACUGGUACGCCUACCGGCCUUCAGUCUAUCCGGACCGCUCCACAAUCACUCAUCAUUCCAACUAUCUCUUCGGGAAAUCCUCCCGUGCAUACCGUUCUAGCCCUCUAGGGGUUCCGAACUCUACCUCCAUCAUACAUACUCGAUCCCGGCCUGCACCCAUGCCUUCCUCAAUCAACUGCUCUAGGUCUGUAUUUCGCCCCGCACGCCUACUGCUCACCCAUCCGAGCCUGCUCUCAUCUGAUAGAAAUACCGCUGAAUUCCCAAGCGGCUAAACAACCUCCCAUGCCCAACGACCAUCCAGGGAAUUUCCAAUUCUCCCCCACUUAAGACGCUGACAGAAAAUCACCGGUCGCCAUCACCGAUCUCCCAAAGCACCUCGUAGGAAUCAGCACAUGCACUCCAAGUGCGUUUCACCAGUACCGACAACUUUCAUACAAAUCAUGCUCCUACGCUGUACAACCCGCUCGAAAGCGACUCAAUCUUCAUCUUUCCAUUCCUCAGAUUGCAGAAUCCAACUAGCCUCCAAACUAACACCGCAUCCGCCACCAAUCUUCUCAAAGAUAAUCAAUGAUGGCUCGAAGUACAAUCCCAAAACCAUAACGAUCCCUCAAGGGACACAAGAUACUAAAACCAAAAUUCCGAUCACAACUCGCCAAUCCCUCAAGGAACAACGAAUACCACAAGAAACCCGAAACGCAAUUUCCAUAGCCAACCAACGAAACUAGCAGAUAACAAUACUCCACAACAAGCAUAAAUAAUCAAAACAUCAGAAAGAAACAUACCCGCAACAGCAAGCUGAAAAACACGACCCUAAGCCCUUGGGGGCUCCGCUCCACCCUGACCUCCACCUGUGAUCCUCAACGUAGCCGGUGCUGGAGCCUGCACCGAUCCUGCAGCAAUCUGUGGACAGUUGACCUUCAAAUGUCCAACCUGAUGACAAUGAUAGCAUAUCCUCAAAUCCCGAACCGGCACCGACUGCCGACAAUCCCUCGCAUAGUGUCCCUCCUUCCCGCACUUGCGGCAUGCUCCACCGGACCGACAAACCCCGGCAUGACCCCUUCCACACUUACCACAGACGUGGCCACCCUGAUCUCCCAUCCUGAAAUCAACGGUCUUAGACCGUUUCGUCGCCGGCUGCGACUGAACCGGAGCUUGCCUCAGCUCACGCAUCUGUAACUCAAUCUCUAACUCACGCCGCCUGGCGGCCUCCUGCAACUCCAGCAAAGUCUCGCACCUCUGCGCAGACACAAACUGUCUGAUAUCCCUCUUUAGCAUACUCAGAUAUCGGGACAUCUGAGCCUGCUCCGAAGCGAACUCAGGACAAAACAUCGCCCUCUCAGUAAACAUCCUGGUGAUUUCCGUCACCGAUUCCGAAUCCUGCUUUAGCUCCAAGAACUCCUGAGCCAACCUCUCCCUCUCGACCUGUGGAACAUAGCGAGUACUGAACAUCUCCCUGAACCGAUCCCAUGAAAUCGCAGCCCUCUGCGCAUCCGAAUACGAUCCCGUGGUCAAUCUCCACCAAUCCUUUGCUCCGAGCCUCAACAGGUUCAAAGCACACCUCACCCUCUGAUCAGCAGGGCAUGAACAAGUGAAGAAACAUCCUUCCACAUCUGAUAACCACCUCAUAGCAACGAUCGGAUCCUGAACUCCAUCAAAAGUGGGAGGCUUCGUAUUAUCGAAGUCCCGAUACUGAAAACCUCUACUGGCUCCUCCUCCUGCCGCCGCUACUGCUGCGGUAGCCGCCGCGGCAGCCGUCUCCGUGAGAGCCGCAUAACGCUCAUCAAAAUACUCCACCAUGGCGGUCUUGAUCGACCCAAACAACUCUGGCAGCUCAGCCCGAAUCAAUGCGGCAACCUCAUCAUGCAGAAUCUCGCGAAUCCUCGCAUCCAACUCGUGCGUACUCAUCUGACUGACAACCUCUGGCUGUGCAGACCCACUUGGAGCUCCCUCUCCUGCUCCUGAUCCUGACCCGGAUCCACCCCCAGCGUGCCCUGGAAUCUCCAUACUGAAAAUAAAACACCAAUCUCAGACAUAUUCCACUAAUCGGGAACCAGCUCUCAUCCCAACCCUAGAGGUCAUGAUUUCCCUGAUACGCGUAUGAGUCCGUGCUUUCAGUAGUACGGGCCCAUACUACCUUCCGCACCAACCCAUAUUUGUAUGAAGUACUCCCACAACACCCUAGCGACACAUAUAACAACGCUCUAUCCUCACCACUAGAGGAACACUAGAAAUCUCUCGCAAGGAACCCUAGGCUAGCAGGCAUCAUAAAUCAGGCAACUCAUCAAUAAAUCCUGAAGAUCCCUAGCCUAACUCUAGCAUGCUGUUCUAUCAAAGCUCAAUAAAACAAUUGCCAUGUAUGAUAUUUUGGGGUUACUUACUGGCUCCGGCUGAUCGUACCUCCGCGUCCUCCUUUACUUGUUUUGAAAACCAUUUUAAUUUCUCUUUUUGAAAACUCUCCUCGAUUUGAGACUGGAGUCACACAAGUGUUCCUCCAAUUCACUCAAACCAAGGCUCUGAUACCAACUUGUAACAUCCGAAAAACACAACCAAUUUAAAAUUUUCAAAGCAACCCGAUUUUCAUUAAAAUGUUCACAAAAAGGUUUUCAAUAUAAUUCAUUUAAGUAUUCCCAGAAUCACGUUGUUACAAAAUCAUGAGGAACGGUACGAUCGCGCCUUCGCCUUGCCACAGUCUCCUGAAGAACCUGAAAAACAUUAAACCACAACUGUAAGCCCGAAAGCUUAGUGAGAUACCCCCAAAAUACCAACCACGCAUACGCCUUUCCAGGCCGUGACCUUCCGGUCCAAAACAUAUAAAUCAUACAUAACAAAACAGAUCAUAGAACAAUCAUGCAUAUCGGGUCUAUCGUGACUGGUCCGCCUUAUCAGGCCUUCAGUCCGUCGGAUCCAUCCUCCGGGUCUAGUCAUGUCCUCCGAGUCUACAGUGGGGUUGGUCCGCCCGCAUUGGGCCUUCAACCCACCUGGUCCACUCUCCGAGUCUACAGUGUGACUGGUCCGCCCGCAUCGGGCCUUCAGUCAUCCUGGUCCACUCUCCGAGCCUCGGCACGUCUGGUCCGCCCUCGUGGGGCCUACAGCCUAUCCGGACCGCUCGCUGGGCCUUCGGAACAACCGGUCCGCCCUGGGUAUCUUGGCCUACAGCACAAAGCAGGACCCGCCUCAACCCAUCUCUAAUCCAAACAACCAUGUGCACAAAACAUACAGUCAUAUAACAAUCAUAAUCAACAAACCGAGUAAACAGAUCACAUAGCAUAUCAUUACCCUAACCGGGCUACCGCCCUAUUCGAUCACUAGCAUAGCAUUACUCAACAUAUCGAGAACUGACCUUUGCAAGGUCCCCUAGCAUGUACCAUCCUAACUACCAGGAUGCAGACACAACCAGCACUAACAUGAUAAACGUAACUGAAUCUCAAUACAAUAAAGGGCCGGCCUUGGUGCCUUAGACCCUGUUGAUAUAGUGAGGAUAACUCACCUCGAACUGACGGCUGAAAAGAUAAGAUCCCGCUGCUCCGAACUCUGACACAACUCCUCCACUGAACAUCAAACAAUAACCCAAUAAACUCCCAUGAUUACCAAAAUACCCCUGGAAGACAACUGGUCAAAUCCUUGGUCAAAGACAAGGUCAAAGUCAACCCCUGACUGACCCUACUCGCCGAGUCAACCCUAUGACUCGCCGAGUCCCCAUACUCAGAACUUCGCUUAACCCGCGACCUAACUCGCCGAGUCACCCCAAGACUCGCCGAGUUCAACGACUCUGAGUCCACUCGCCCUUGACUCACCGAUUCCUUAAGAUUCCCUUCCUACACGUCGAGUAUCCCCUUUUUACUCGACGAGUUCCUCCUGGAAGAAUCGUGGGGCCACCCCGACUCAACUCGCCGAGUCUGAAGAACGACUCGACGAGUCCCAGUUAAUCUUCAAGCUACUCGCCGAGUCUGAAGAACAACUCG